GAUGAACGCUGGCGGCGUGCCUAAUACAUGCAAGUCGAGCGAACGGACGAGAAGCUUGCUUUUCUGAUGUUAGCGGCGGACGGGUGAGUAACACGUGGAUAACCUACCUAUAAGACUGGGAUAACUUCGGGAAACCGGAGCUAAUACCGGAUAAUAUUUUGAACCGCAUGGUUCAAAAGUGAAAGACGGUCUUGCUGUCACUUAUAGAUGGAUCCGCGCUGCAUUAGCUAGUUGGUAAGGUAACGGCUUACCAAGGCAACGAUGCAUAGCCGACCUGAGAGGGUGAUCGGCCCCACUGGAACUGAGACCCGGUCCCGACUCCUACGGGAGGCAGCAGUAGGGAAUCUUCCGCAAUGGGCGAAAGCCUGACGGAGCAACGCCGCGUGAGUGAUGAAGGUCUUCGGAUCGUAAAACUCUGUUAUUAGGGAAGAACAUAUGUGUAAGUAACUGUGCACAUCUUGACGGUACCUAAUCAGAAAGCCACGGCUAACUACGUG
rnacentral:rRNA from 1 species